rnacentral:lncRNA from 1 species
UGGCAUAUGAUUGUAAAUAAAUUAAAAAAACAAAAGAGUAAUUUAUUUUUCUACUUCUGUUUUAAUAGAUUAGACUAGAUUUUGAUCCGCGCCUAAAAAGCGCGGGUUUGUUUGUUUUUUAUUUAUUUAUCGAAAACUGAUUGACAAACUACUAUUAUUUUUAUUUUUCUUUCGCUCCAUAACAAUUGCGUUUUUAGUUUUUUAUCAUUUUUUUUUCUCUUCAAAAUAAGGUAUUUGUUCGAAAUAUGGUAGUUGUUCUAUAAUAAUGUUUGAGUUUUAAGAUUUGUUUUUAUAUCCGACUUAGAUUCAUGGUUGAACCUAUAGACCCGAUACAUUGUAUAUACUACGGUUAAGAUUUAAUGAAAAAAUCGUUAAUUAAAAAUCC